rnacentral:ncRNA from 1 species
CACCUGGUUGAUCCUGCCAGUAGUCAUAUGCUUGUCUCAAAGAUUAAGCCAUGCAUGUCUAAGUAUAAGCUUUAAACGGCGAAACUGCGAAUGGCUCAUUAAAACAGUUAUAGUUUAUUUGGUGAUCGAUUACUAUUUGGAUAACCGUAGUAAUUCUAGAGCUAAUACAUGCGUCAAGGCCCGACUUCGGAAGGGCUGCGUUUAUUAGAUACAGAACCAACCUAGGCUCCGCCUAGUCCUUGUUGGUGAUUCAUAAUAACCCGGCGAAUCGCACGGCUUGUCCGGCGAUGGACCAUUCAAGUUUCUGACCUAUCAGCUAUGGACGGUAGGGUAUUGGCCUACCGUGGCGUUGACGGGUAACGGGGAAUUAGGGUUCGAUUCCGGAGAGGGAGCCUGAGAAACGGCUACCACAUCUAAGGAAGGCAGCAGGCGCGCAAAUUACCCAAUCCUGAUACAGGGAGGUAGUGACAAGAAAUAACAAUACAGGGCAAUUCUGUCUUGUAAUUGGAAUGAGUAGAUUUUAAAUCUCUUUACGAGUAUCAAUUGGAGGGCAAGUCUGGUGCCAGCAGCCGCGGUAAUUCCAGCUCCAAUAGCGUAUAUUAAAGUUGUUGCGGUUAAAAAGCUCGUAGUUGGAUUUCUGCCUUGGGCGACCGAUCCACCUUUCCUACGGGAUUGGUUGGUAUCAGGUUUGACCUUGGCUUUUUCUUGGGAUUCGUGCUCACGUACUUAACUGUGCGUUGACCGUGUUCCAAGACUUUUACUUUGAGGAAAUUAGAGUGUUUCAAGCAGGCUUAUGCCAUGAAUACAUUAGCAUGGAAUAAUAGGAUAUGACUUCGGUCAUAUUUUGUUGGUUUCUAGGACUGAAGUAAUGAUUAAUAGGGACAGUCGGGGGCAUUCGUAUUAAACUGUCAGAGGGAAAUUCUUGGAUUGUUAAAGACAAACUACUGCGAAAGCAUUUGCCAAGGAU